GGUUCGCCGCUGGUGACGUCGCGAGAAGUCCACUGAACCUUAUCAUUUAGAGGAAGGAGAAGUCGUAACAAGGUUUCCGUAGGUGAACCUGCGGAAGGAUCAUUGU
rnacentral:rRNA from 1 species